rnacentral:lncRNA from 10 species
CAAGAAUAAGGCACCAGCAAGUUCAGUGUCUAGAAAGGACCCAGCGUUUGCUUCGAAGAUGGCGCCUUUCUGCUGCAUUCUCUGAAGAGGAUGGAUGCUGUGUCCUCACAUUGCAGAAGUCAGAAGGGGAAAAAGGGCCUAAGCUAGUUCCCUGUAGCCUUUUUGCAAGAACGCCAGAAGUGCCAAGCAAUUAACAACCCCAGAAGCAACCCUUAACCAAUGAUUAAAUAAAGUGGAUGAUUACAUACCCAAGCUCCUUCAACUCCCAGGGACAUAAUUCUGAGGU